GAUGAAGAACGCAGCGAAAUGCGAUAAGUAAUGUGAAUUGCAGAAUUCAGUGAAUCAUCGAAUCUUUGAACGCACAUUGCGCCCGCCAGUAUUCUGGCGAGCAUGCCUGUUCGAGCGUCAUUUCAACCAUCAAGCCCUAGGCUUGCGUUGGAGCCCUGCGGCUGCCGCAGGCCCCUAAAAGCAGUGGCGGGCUCGCUAUCACACCGAGUGCAGUAGAUUACUCUUCGCUCAGGGCGUGUGGCGGGUUCCAGCCGUGAAACCCCCUACUUCUCAAGGUUGACCUCGGAUCAGGUAGGAAUACCCGCUGAACUUAAGCAUAUCAAUAAGCGGAGGA
rnacentral:misc_RNA from 1 species